UACGUAGGGGGCGAGCGUUGUCCGGAAUUAUUGGGCGUAAAGAGCGUGUAGGCGGUUCGAUAAGUCGGAUGUGAAAGCCCCGGGCUCAACCCGGGAAGUGCACUCGAUACUGUCGAGCUAGAGUAUCGGAGAGGUUGGUGGAAUUCUCGGUGUAGAGGUGAAAUUCGUAGAUAUCGAGAGGAACACCGGUGGCGAAGGCGGCCAACUGGACGAAUACUGACGCUGAGACUCGAAAGCGUGGGGAGCAAACAGG
rnacentral:rRNA from 1 species